GGCGCGAAGAUGUGAACCCUAGCGGGUGCGUAACCACAGGACUAAUACUCCGAUGUUGCAGGUUCGAGUCCUGCCCGCGCCUA
rnacentral:tRNA from 1 species